GUUGAGGCAGUCAAGUUGGUCCUAGGAAUGCGACGUUAUGGCUGCCUUUCGAGAGGGUGUGGGUUCGAAUCCCACUCUUAGCA
rnacentral:sRNA from 1 species